AUUGAACGCUGGCGGCAGGCCUAACACAUGCAAGUCGAACGAGUGGCGGACGGGUGAGUAAUGUCUGGGAAACUGCCUGAUGGAGGGGGAUAACUACUGGAAACGGUAGCUAAUACCGCAUACCAUCGGAUGUGCCCAGAUGGGAUUAGCUAGUAGGGGGGGAAACGGCUCACCUAGGCGACGAUCCCUAGCUGGUCUGAGAGGACGACGAGCAACAGUGGAACUGAGACAAGGGCCAGACUCCUACGGGAGGCAGCAGUGGGGAAUAUUGCACAAUGGGCGAAAGCCUGAGGCAGCCAUGCCGCGUGUAUGAAGAAGGCCUUAGGGUUGUAAAGUACUUUCAGCGGGGAGGCGUUACCCGCAGAAGAAGCACCGGCUAACUCCGUGCCAGCCGCCGCGGUAAUAC
rnacentral:rRNA from 1 species